UACGGAGGAUCCAAGCGUUAUCCGGAAUCAUUGGGUUUAAAGGGUUCGUAGGCGGCCUUAUAAGUCAGCGGUGAAAGUUUGCAGCUUAACUGUAAAAUUGCCAUUGAUACUGUAGGGCUUGAAUUUUUGUGAAGUAACUAGAAUAUGUAGUGUAGCGGUGAAAUGCUUAGAUAUUACAUGGAAUACCAAUUGCGAAGGCAGGUUACUAACAAACGAUUGACGCUGAUGGACGAAAGCGUGGGGAGCGAACAGG
rnacentral:rRNA from 1 species